GUCUGAAGUAAAUGGAGAACAUUUCUAUUUGAUUUAGGAACUUGCCUUCUGUAUCACAAGCCUCUUAAAGUUUUAAUUGCAGGGGGCUGAAGGCACACACUGUCGUACUGCUGGUAGCAGGGAUGCAGGCAGCACUUGCUGGGAAGGGAGGCCCAGCAAAAACCUCCCAUCCCCAGCCACUUGCUUUCCUCCUACUUUGCUGAGUCCCAGUACAGGAACCAUGGAAGGAAACAAGGAAUCUCACUGGUCUCAGCAGCUUCAGAGAACGUGCUUCCACAGGUGAAGGAGGCGAAGAAGUCAUAUAGAACAUUGAACAGUUGCUAACAGUCCCAAUCUUUUCACCUCUACCCUUAGAGCAACUCUACACAGCCUGGCUGUCAGUACCCAGCAUGAUCCUUGGCCACAGAAGAUGCAAAAUUUAGAUUUCCCAUUGACCACUGCCAAUCUGGACAGCGGCCAUCUGGUGUGAGAAAGGAAGAAAAAAACAUCUGCCAGUGUUAAAAAUCCCAUACACUUUAUCUUACAUAGUACAGGUAUUUUUGUACAAGCACAGCUAUAACAAAUAAUGAAGCUGUUUUGAUUUCAGGACUGUUAAUUGGAUAAAUAAGGUCAGUAACCACACUCAUAACUGCGUGUGAAUCCAUUCUCCCUGACCUGAGCACCAACAGCUUCAAUUUUGACGUUCAGGCUCUUAGCCAACCUUUUGUCCACUAAGUCUUCCUGCUUUUUUUCUUUUCUUUCAUCUGUUCACUCACCAGACCUAUCUGCAGGACAGUCAAACACUUACCCAGGAUAAUACUCUGUCAGAAGGAACUGGAAAGACAUAAAACUACCAUCCAGCCAGCUUCUCCCAGGAUCAUCCUAGAAUAAUAGAAUGACCGGAGUUAGAAGGGAACUUAAAGGCCAUCUCGUUCCAUCUCCCUGUCCUGGACAGGGUUGUGACUCACUAGAUCAGGCUGUCUUCACAUCUUCUCUGAAUGUACUUCAGGCAAAUGCUUUAUUUCUCCAAGAUUUCCAAACAUAUGGUAGUUCUCUUGCCACAAGCUGAUUGGAUCAGGGUUGCUGAGGUUUUGAAAAUCCCACAGGCUAAAUUGAGGUGAAACAACACCAAACAUACAGUUAAAUGUUUAUUUGUAUUCCAC
ensembl:lncRNA